UCAAGGAAGCCUUGAUACCCUCACCCUUACUACACUGUAUCCUCCAUUUGAAUGUUGUCAAAAGGUCUUCUCACAAUUGUAAAUAAUAAUUGUGUAAUUUUAUUUUAUUUUUCCUACUUUAGGUUGCUCCUUGAGGGCAGGACAGUUCUUAUGGCUUUAUCUGUUGCUUAAGCACAGAGAGAGGUCUGUGAGGUCAAAACUGUUGUCAUGAUAGCAAGAUGCUUGUCUUUUUCAUUUAUUCUCACAGUGUGCAGAGGCUACAUGAUUUGUGAUGACAUCCUCAUUGUUGUUAAUGAAUGGUGCUAUACUUGAAUUUUCUAAGGUGUCGUUAGCAAUUCUCCUGCCUCAGCCUCCUGUGUAACUGGGACUACAGGGAAGCACCAUUUUCCACAAAACUCUCAAGAAGGACUUGUUGCAACUGGAAAAGCAAUUAAAUGUGAAUCGUGAUCCAGGAGAAAAUA
rnacentral:antisense_RNA from 1 species